UUUUUUCCAAAAUUUCCAAUGGUUUAAAACCAUUUAUGAAAAUAACACUCACAUUCAUCUGAUGUUUAAACUCCUUUCCUCUUGUGUUCAUAUUGUUGGAUACUUAGAGAGACUCCAUAGAUCAUUUCAAGCAUGUCCCGCAUUUCCUUGGCAAAAUAAAAAUUAAAAACAUAUAUAAAGAAAUUGAUUUUAACUUAAAGACAUAACCAAAAAAUGUAUAGCUUUAAAAUCAAGUUUG
rnacentral:lncRNA from 1 species